GAUGAAUGCUGGCGGCGUGGAUGAGGCAUGCAAGUCGAAUGGGUUUAGACCCAUGGCAGACGAGGUAGGAACACGUAGGUACGUGCCGUAGAGUCAGGGAUAACCCGUCGAAAGGCGGAAUAAUACUUGAUGGUCCCUUCGGGGUAAAGAUUUAUCGCUCUAUGAACGGCCUGCGGUCUAUCAGCUUGAUGGUGAGGUAACGGCUCACCAUGGCUACGACGGAUAGGGGAGGUGAGAGCCUGGCCCCCACCGAUGGAACUGAGACACGGUCCAUACUCCUACGGGAGGCCGCAGUCGAGAAUCUUCCGCAAUGGACGAAAGUCUGACGGAGCGACGCCGCGUGGUGGAUGAAGUACUUCGGUACGUAAACACCUUUUAUGAGUGAAGAAGUAUAUUGACAUUAGCUCAUGAAUAAGGGGCUCCUAACUCUG
rnacentral:rRNA from 1 species